GACGAACGCUGGCGGCGUGCUUAACACAUGCAAGUCGAACGAUGAAGCCUAGCUUGCUAGGUGGAUUAGUGGCGAACGGGUGAGUAAUACGUGAGUAACCUACCUUUAACUCUGGGAUAAGCCUGGGAAACUGGGUCUAAUACCGGAUACGACCAAUCUCCGCAUGGGGUGUUGGUGGAAAGCGUUAUGUAGUGGUUAUAGAUGGGCUCACGGCCUAUCAGCUUGUUGGUGAGGUAACGGCUCACCAAGGCGACGACGGGUAGCCGGCCUGAGAGGGUGACCGGCCACACUGGGACUGAGGCACGGCCCAGACUCCUACGGGAGGCAGCAGUGGGGAAUAUUGCACAAUGGGCGCAAGCCUGAUGCAGCGACGCCGCGUGAGGGAUGACGGCCUUCGGGUUGUAAACCUCUGUUAGCAGGGAAGAAGAGAGAUUGACGGUACCUGCAGAGAAAGCGCCGGCUAACUACGUGCCAGCAGCCGCGGUAAUACGUAGGGCGCGAGCGUUGUCCGGAAUUAUUGGGCGUAAAGAGCUUGUAGGCGGUUUGUCGCGUCUGCUGUGAAGGCCGGGGCUUAACCCCGUGUAUUGCAGUGGGUACGGGCAGACUAGAGUGCAGUAGGGGAGACUGGAAUUCCUGGUGUAGCGGUGGAAUGCGCAGAUAUCAGGAGGAACACCGAUGGCGAAGGCAGGUCUCUGGGCUGUAACUGACGCUGAGAAGCGAAAGCAUGGGGAGCGAACAGGAUUAGAUACCCUGGUAGUCCGUGCCGUAAACGUUGGGCACUAGGUGUGGGGGACAUUCCACGUUUUCCGCGCCGUAGCUAACGCAUUAAGUGCCCCGCCUGGGGAGUACGGCCGCAAGGCUAAAACUCAAAGAAAUUGACGGGGGCCCGCACAAGCGGCGGAGCAUGCGGAUUAAUUCGAUGCAACGCGAAGAACCUUACCAAGGCUUGACAUAUACUGGACCGCAUCAGAGAUGGUGUUUCCCUUCGGGGCUGGUAUACAGGUGGUGCAUGGUUGUCGUCAGCUCGUGUCGUGAGAUGUUGGGUUAAGUCCCGCAACGAGCGCAACCCUCGUUCUAUGUUGCCAGCACGUUAUGGUGGGGACUCAUAGGAGACUGCCGGGGUCAACUCGGAGGAAGGUGGGGAUGACGUCAAAUCAUCAUGCCCCUUAUGUCUUGGGCUUCACGCAUGCUACAAUGGCCGGUACAGAGGGUUGCGAUACUGUGAGGUGGAGCUAAUCCCUAAAAGCCGGUCUCAGUUCGGAUUGGGGUCUGCAACUCGACCCCAUGAAGUCGGAGUCGCUAGUAAUCGCAGAUCAGCAACGCUGCGGUGAAUACGUUCCCGGGCCU
rnacentral:rRNA from 1 species